rnacentral:misc_RNA from 1 species
UUUCCGUAGGUGAACCAGCGGAAGGAUCAUUACUGAGUACUUGCCCUUAGGCCUAGAUCUCCCACUCAAUGUUUACAUACUUUGUUGCUUUCGCAUGCCUGCCUCUUGUGCUACUCGCCUUGGCUAGCUAGUGCAAUCCAGAGACCCAACACUCUGAAUUAUUUAUAUUCUGAAGUACUAUUUUAAUAGUUUAAACUUUCAACAACGGAUCUCUUGGUUCUG